UCUAUUUUGCCAUGUUCUUAGAGCUGUGUGCUUGUAAAAUAAUGUUUUAUAAAUUUAGUUUUCCAAUAAUGACAAAAUUGGUUUGUUAUUAAGAUAAUUUGAAAUAAAAACACUUAUUGUCUUUUUGUAACAGACAAUGGAGAUUAUUAAAAAAUGCUUCCAGAGCUUCAAUUUUUUUGAUGGACAACGUAUGAUCGUAGUACCCAAAUGUUUGAUGUUGAGUUUAUUUAAAAGUACGAAACCUAUAAAAAUCCGUAACAGUAUGAGGCAUCCUUUCGGAGCUCAUAAUUCGGCUUCACAGCCUAUCCCUCAAAGGGGACACUGAAUGAAACGGAGAGUUUCGUCGUUGCCUAAGCGACUCAUCAGUAGGAUUCGGUUCCGGUCUAUUGCUAGACCAAUUCCAGGCAGUAGACUGGGGCCCACUCCAAAGAAUGGUUCCCAUCUUUUAAGUCUUGGGUGUGGACUCAAUCCAUUUUACGUCGCCGAUGGUCGACACAUUCAUUUUUAAAGUCUUAAAUGAAAGACUCCAUCCAUUUAACGUCUCUGAUGGUCGACCCAUUCACUUGUAGAAUCCGGAAUGCGGACUCUAUCCGUUUUAAUGUCUUGGAUAGUUGACAAACUAAGAAGUUUUUUUUAUUCAAAUUUUUUUUUUUAAUUUUUUUUUAAAUUAUUUUUUUUUUUUUUUUUUUUUCCAAGUAUUAAUUCGAAACUAAAAGAAAAGUGUGGCGCGGAUGAGUUAUGCGUUGUAAUGUUUUUGUCAUAAAUAAAUAAAGAAAAGAGUAGGGGAUCCUUGUUAUUGUUAUAAUCAAGUGUUUUCCGGUUUGUUUAUGAGAUCAGAGUCGUUGUUUUUUCGAGCGCUCCACUGGGUGUGUGGAACUGGAUGAUGUCACAGUAGUUUUUCUUUUUGAAUAUACAUUAUGUAUUACACUUCUGGAUGUUUCAGGUAUGUUUGUCUGUAUUGGUCUAUUCUUAAGUCAUAGGUUUAUUUUUUCUGAGACUUGUCGAGCUGUACGAUUUCCAAAUUUCUGUGCGAUUGUUACCGCGUCAAAGCGGCCCUCACAUUGAUUUAAUACUGCAAUCAAGUGUUCCUCUUCCUCAGCGGACCAUCGUCCUUUUCGUACUUUCACUCUCUUAGGCGGGAUAAUUGUCUGCAGGAAGAAACUGAAUUUCUUCGUGCGUAGCCGGUGAUAAAUUUCGGCACGUGAUAGAUAAAAAUAGUACCGGUUCAUUAUCUUUUUCAUGCUAUUAUUGAAAUAGUGCGCCUUCAAAUUGACUUUUCUUAAUCGGAUUUGACAAGCGUGUAAGUUAAUUGUUGUCAAUAUUGUGGAACCUAUAUACAGAAAUACCAAUGCUUCGGCAAAGCAUUCUGACCCUUCUCAGAUAUUUUUCUUAAUUAUAGUAUAUACAUCAACAUUCUGAAUCGAGCACAAUUCAAUCAUAUUAAAAACUAUAAAGUUAAAGUUAAAACGCUAUCUAAACCGUGUAAUAAUCGCAACGUAGAAGAUCUCAGGUAGAAAAGAAUUGACAAUCUUAAUUGAAACUUUUUGAUUAGUGGUAAUUGUUUCUGUUUGUAUAAUUGUUAAUAUAUUUAAAUAUAUGUUAAAACAUUAUCAGAUAAGUAACAGAAUGACUUUUUUAUUUUGCGC